UAUAGUGAUUUCUAUUUCAAAAACAAAGGACAAGAACCAAAUUAACGACACAAACAGGAUUGAACGUGAAAAUCUAUUUCAAUCAAAGUUUGAAGGAGAAUGCAUUUCAAAUAAAGAAAAUUCUCAAACUGAAGCUACAGUCUAGUCUUGACUCCUGAUUUUAAACUGGUACAUGUAGAAUGUGGCGGAGUUAAACAUGUUAAAGAGAGGGGCAAAAGAUACCAGAGGGACAGUCAAACAUCGAAAAUAAACUAACAACGCUAUGACUAAAAAAGAAAAAGACAAUAACAAUUAAACACAACUGGCUUUUUUCUCGAAUUGAUCACAAAUUAAUUGUUAUAAUUGAAUGUGGGCACAAAUUUGAGGAAUUACUUCCGACUAUGGCAAGAGCACUGGUUUCGGUUUAUUGGAAUAAGAACUCUCUUUUGAUAUAGAGACGUUGUAGGAGAUGUUUAUUACAAUGUGUGUAAAAGUAGUCUAUUAUCCAAUUAAAGCGUUUCUUCACCCUC